AUUGAACGCUGGCGGCAGGCUUAACACAUGCAAGUCGAGCGGGGUGAUGGUGCUUGCACUAUCACUUAGCGGCGGACGGGUGAGUAAUGCUUAGGAAUCUGCCUAUUAGUGGGGGACAACAUCUCGAAAGGGAUGCUAAUACCACAUACGUCCUACGGGAGAAAGCAGGGGAUCACUUGUGACCUUGCGCUAAUAGAUGAGCCUAAGUCGGGUUAGCUAGUUGGUGGGGUAAAGGACUACCAAGGGGACGAUCUGUAGCGGGUCUGAGAGGAUGAUCCGCCACACGGGGACUGAGACACGGCCCAGACUGCGAAGGGAGGCAGCAGUGGGGAAUAUUGGAAAAUGGGGGGAACCCUGAUCCAGCCAUGCCGCGUGUGUGAAGAAGGCCUUAUGGUUGUAAAGCACUUUAAGCGAGGAGGAGGCUUACCUAGUUAAUACCUGGGAUAAGUGGACGUUACUCGCAGAAUAAGCACCGGCUAACUCUGUGCCAGCAGCAGCCGCCG
rnacentral:rRNA from 1 species